rnacentral:rRNA from 1 species
GAUGAACGCUGGCGGCGUGCCUAAUACAUGCAAGUCGAGCGAACAGAUGAGGAGCUUGCUCCUCUGACGUUAGCGGCGGACGGGCGAGUAACACGUGGAUAACCUACCUAUAAGACUGGGAUAACUUCGGGAAACCGGGGCUAAUACCGGAUAAUAUAUUGAACCGCAUGGUUCAAUAGUGAAAGACGGUUUUGCUGUCACUUAUAGAUGGAUCCGCGCCGCAUUAGCUAGUUGGUAAGGUAACGGCUUACCAAGGCAACGAUGCGUAGCCGACCUGAGAGGGUGAUCGGCCACACUGGAACUGAGACACGGUCCAGACUCCUACGGGAGGCAGCAGUAGGGAAUCUUCCGCAAUGGGCGAAAGCCUGACGGAGCAACGCCGCGUGAGUGAUGAAGGUCUUCGGAUCGUAAAACUCUGUUAUUAGGGAAGAACAAAUGUGUAAGUAACUAUGCACGUCUUGACGGUACCUAAUCAGAAAGCCACGGCUAACUACGUG